rnacentral:tRNA from 1 species
GGCCCCAUCGUCUAGAGGCCUAGGACGGCAGGUUCUCAUCCUGUAAACCCCGGUUCGACUCCGGGUGGGGUCA